CUACAAAGCUGUCCCUCAUCAAUCUCAACUGGUUUCAGAAGCUAAGGAAGAGUGGGCCUGGUUAGUAUGUGGAUGGGAGACCACUUAAAGAUACCAGAUGCUGGAGG
rnacentral:rRNA from 1 species